rnacentral:ncRNA from 1 species
CUUUAUACCACCACCAUUACUUAAUGGUAUAACAGAUUGUACAGAACCCUUACCGAACGAUUGUGUUCCUAAAAUAAUAGCUCUAUUAUUAUCUUGCAAUGCACCAGCUACUAUUUCUGAAGCCGAUGCUGAACCCUCAUUAAUAAGAACAACCAUUGGCUUAUCUGGUAUUAAAUCUUGAUCUGAUUUAGCGAAAUAUUCAUUCAUUAUAAUACCAUUUUUACCUUUUAUACUAACAAUUUUUUUACCUUUAUCAAGAAAAGCAUCAGAUAUAAACACAGAUGUAUCUAAUAAACCACCAGGAUUAUUUCUUA